CACAACAUCUUGAUUGUCGGCGCCA
rnacentral:siRNA from 1 species